CAAGGGUAUCUCUGGCUGAGGGUAAUGAA
rnacentral:rRNA from 1 species